AUUGAACGCUGGCGGCAUGCCUUACACAUGCCAGUCGAACGGCAGCACGGGUGCUUGCACCUGGUGGCGAGUGGCGAACGGGUGAGUAAUACAUCGGAACAUGUCCUGUAGUGGGGGAUAGCCCGGCGAAAGCCGGAUUAAUACCGCAUACGAUCCACGGAUGAAAGCGGGGGACCUUCGGGCCUCGCGCUAUAGGGUUGGCCGAUGGCUGAUUAGCUAGUUGGUGGGGUAAAGGCCUACCAAGGCGACGAUCAGUAGCUGGUCUGAGAGGACGACCAGCCACACUGGGACUGAGACACGGCCCAGACUCCUACGGGAGGCAGCAGUGUGGAAUUUUGGACAAUGGGCGAAAGCCUGAUCCAGCAAUGCCGCGUGUGUGAAGAAGGCCUUCGGGUUGUAAAGCACUUUUGUCCGGAAAGAAAUCCUUGACUCUAAUACAGUCGGGGGAUGACGGUACCGGAAGAAUAAGCACCGGCUAACUACGUG
rnacentral:rRNA from 1 species